GGGGCUGUAGCUCAGUUGGGAGAGCGCAUGACUGGCAGUCAUGAGGUCAGGGGUUCGACUCCCCUCAGCUCCA
rnacentral:tRNA from 1 species